UACGAAGGGGGCUAGCGUUGCUCGGAUUUACUGGGCGUAAAGGGAGCGUAGGCGGACAUUUAAGUCAGGGGUGAAAUCCCAGAGCUCAACUCUGGAACUGCCUUUGAUACUGGGUGUCUUGAGUAUGAGAGAGGUAUGUGGAACUCCGAGUGUAGAGGUGAAAUUCGUAGAUAUUCGGAAGAACACCAGUGGCGAAGGCGACAUACUGGCUCAUUACUGACGCUGAGGCUCGAAAGCGUGGGGAGCAAACAGG
rnacentral:rRNA from 1 species